AACUCUCAGCAACGGAUAUCUUGGCUCUUGCAACGAUGAAGAACGCAGCGAAAUGCGAUACGUAGUGUGAAUUGCAGAAUUCCGUGAAUCAUCGAGUUUUGAACGCAAGUUGCGCCCGAGGCUCGUCCGAGGGCAUUCCUGCCAGAGCGUCA
rnacentral:rRNA from 1 species